AUGUCGGAGUAGUGCUCCACUGGGCGGGUCGGCCACAUGGCGUUUCUCCGUUGAUCUGUUGCUGGGCAUUUGACUGUUCUAGGUGGUACAUCUUUCAGCUUUCAGCUUAGAGGGGGGUAAAACAGGUGCCUUGUGUAAUGUGCACUUCAGUUCUUUGUGGGGUGGAUAUCUUUGGUUGUGUUUACGAAUUGUAUUUCCUCUUGUAUGAGUUACACGUUCAUUUCGUUGGCCCAUUUUUCUCCUGGAAUUGGGAUUUUCUCUGUCAAUCCUAACAAGAUCGCCCUGUCAUAGAGAAAUACACCGUUGCUGUGUUUUCAGCAAAAUGUUCCUCCAGCCUGACUGGCAGCCCUAUUUGCCACAGAACGGAGACAACAUUGAAGUCGCCUUCUCCUACUCCUCGGUCUUAUGGCCUUGGUCAGGCUACCUGGCCAUCUCCAUUUCUGUGACCAAGAAAGCGGCUUCCUGGGAAGGCAUUGCUCAGGGCCAUGUCAUGAUCACCGUGGCUUCCCCAGCAGAGACAGAGUCAAAAAAUGGUGCAGAACA
rnacentral:sRNA from 1 species